rnacentral:lncRNA from 1 species
GAGGAUGAAUCCUUUCAUAAGCCCAGGUAUCUAGUGGCUUGGACCAUGAUUAAUGAAUGGUAUAAGGAGAUGUUGGCUGAGGAGAGCUUGGGGUUGGUUGGAAAUGAAGUGUCUGCACCCUGGGCUGUUGGGUUACAAGGACCUGUUGGGUUUACAAGGUCCGGUUCUAUGGAAUGAAGGCCAGAAAGGAGGAUCUGAAGCUGGAGAUGUAGGCUCCUUUUGCAUG